rnacentral:rRNA from 1 species
GUGCCAGCCGCCGCGGUAAUACAGAGGGUGCGAGCGUUAAUCGGAUUUACUGGGCGUAAAGCGUGCGUAGGCGGCUUUUUAAGUCGGAUGUGAAAUCCCCGAGCUUAACUUGGGAAUUGCAUACGAUACUGGGGAGCUAGAGUAUGGGAGAGGAUGGUAGAAUUCCAGGUGUAGCGGUGAAAUGCGUAGAGAUCUGGAGGAAUACCGAUGGCGAAGGCAGCCAUCUGGCCUAAUACUGACGCUGAGGUACGAAAGCAUGGGGAGCAAACAGGAUUAGAAACC